rnacentral:rRNA from 1 species
UUUGUUUUUUAAUUAAAAACUAGAAUGAAAGGUUAUACAUUCAAAUUUCUUUAUUAAUUUUUAAUAAAUAAUUUAUAUUAAAUAUAAAAAUAUAUUUUAAAAAAAAAAAGACGACAAGACCCUAUUAAAUUUUACUUAUAGUUUAGCUGGGGAAGCUUUUUAAUUAAAAUUUUUUAAAUUUAAUAAAUAAAAAUCUAAUAAAAUUAAAAUUUUAAUAAAUUACUAUAGGGAUAACAGCAUUAUAUUUUUUUAAAGUUCAUAUUAAAAAAAAAGAUUGUGACCUCGAUGUUGAAUUAUAUUUUCUAUAUUUAAUGCAAUAAUUAUAAAAGUAGAUCUGUUCGAUCUUUAAAAUAUUACAUGAUUUGAGUUCAAACCGGUGUAAACCAGGUUGGUUUCUAUCUUUUUUUAUAUUUUUCUAGUACGAAAGGACAAAAAAAUUUUUAUUUUAAUAAAUUAGCAAAUAAAUGCAUUAGAUUUAGAAUCUAAAUAUAUUUAAUA